GCCUACGGGGGGCAGCAGUAGGGAAUCUUCCACAAUGGACGAAAGUCUGAUGGAGCAACGCCGCGUGAGUGAAGAAGGGUUUCGGCUCGUAAAGCUCUGUUGGGAGUGAAGAAAGAUAGAGGUAGUAACUGGCCUUUAUUUGACGGUAAUUACUUAGAAAGUCACGGCUGACUACGUGCCAGCAGCCGCGGUAAUACGUAGGUGGCAAGCGUUGUCCGGAUUUAUUGGGCGUAAGGCGAGUGCAGGCG
rnacentral:rRNA from 1 species